rnacentral:rRNA from 1 species
AGAGUUUGAUCCUGGCUCAGGAUGAACGCUAGCGGCAGGCUUAAUACAUGCAAGUCGAGGGGCAGCACGGUAGCAAUACUGGUGGCGACCGGCGCACGGGUGCGUAACACGUAUACAAUCUGCCUUUAACAGGGGGAUAGCCCGGAGAAAUCCGGAUUAAUACCCCAUAACACUAAGAGUAGCAUUACUUUUGGUUAAAAGCUCCGGCGGUUAGAGAUGAGUAUGCGCCUGAUUAGCUAGUUGGUGAGGUAACGGCUCACCAAGGCGACGAUCAGUAGGGGAUCUGAGGGGAUUAACCCCCACACGGAUACUGAGACACGGAUCCGACUCCUACGGGAGGCAGCAGUAAGGAAUAUUGGACAAUGCCCGCAAGGGUGAUCCAGCCAUGCCGCGUGCAGGAAGACGGCCCUAUGGGUUGUAAACUGCUUUUACACCGGAGAAAACCCCCCUACGUGUAGGGGGCUGAUAGUAUGGUGAGAAUAAGCAUCGGCUAACUUCGUGCCAGCAGCCGCGGUAAGACGAAGGAUGCAAGCGUUAUCCGGAUUCAUUGGGUUUAAAGGGAGCGUAGGUGGCCUUAUAAGUCAGUGGUGAAAUCUCUGGGCUUAACCCAGAAAUUGCCAUUGAUACUGUAGGGCUUGAGUAUAGUUGCCGUUGGCGGAAUAUGACAUGUAGUGGUGAAAUACAUAGAGAUGUCAUAGAACACCGAUUGCGAAGGCAGCUGACGAAACUAUAACUGACACUGAGGCUCGAAAGUGCGGGGAUCAAACAGGAUUAGAUACCCUAGUAGUCC